GGUGCUUCCUUUAGUGGUACCGUCAGUCAUGUGGUAUUAGCACAUUGACGGUUCUUCCCACUUGACAGGGCUUUACGACUCGAAAGCCUUCAUCACCCACGCGGCGUCGCUGCGUCAGGGUUUCCCCCAUUGCGCAAAAUUCCUCACUGCUGCCUCCCGUAGGAGUCUGGUCCGUGUUCCAGUUCCAGUGUGGCGGAUCAUCCUCUCAGACCCGCUAACCAUCGUCGCCUAGGUAGGCCAUUACCCCACCUACUAGCUAAUGGUACGCAGACUCAUCCUUAUACGAUAGCUUAUGUCAGAGGCCAUCUUUCCUCUCCUGUCCUCGCGAACAGAAAAGCGUAUACGGUAUUAGCUGAGCUUUCGCUCAGUUAUUCCAUAUAUAAGGGUAGAUUACCUACGCGUUACUCACCCGUGCGCCACUUUACUCAAGCUCCCGAAGGAACUCUUUCUCGUUCGACUUGCAUGUGUUAAGCACGCCGCCAGCGUUCGUUCUGAGCCAUGAUCAAACUCUAAUCGAAUUCCCGCGGCCGCCAUGGCGGCCGGGAGCAUGCGACGUCGGGCCCAAUUCGCCCUAUAGUGAGUCGUAUACAU
rnacentral:rRNA from 1 species